GCAGCUAUCACCCUUUGGGGGUCAACCUUACUACUCAACCUGAGAUGCAAAGGAAUAAUUCAGAAGCUAUAUGGGGACAAUUUUCAUAAGUGCUUGACCUCAACAAAAAAAGUAAAAUGGAUUUUAUCGUACUUAGAAAAUCAACAAUUGCAGUCUGGAUUCAAACAUCACUGUUUGAUGCACCCAACUUGAGUCAAAAGAUGCUUCAACUCCCACUAUGCUGGAGAUUACAGACAUACCACAAGAUGAUGACUCACACAUCAGAAACAUAACAGAGACCUGGAGCCUGAAAGCACUCGUUCAAAGUCUUCUAGCAACAGAAAUA